rnacentral:rRNA from 1 species
UACAGAGGGGGCAAGCGUUGUUCGGAAUUACUGGGCGUAAAGGGCGCGUAGGCGGCCCGCUAAGUCGAACGUGAAAUCCCCGAGCUCAACUCGGGAACUGCGUCCGAUACUGGUGGGCUUGAAUCCGGGAGAGGGAUGCGGAAUUCAGGUGGUAGCGGUGAAAUGCGUAGAUAUCUGGAGGAACACCGGUGGCGAAGGCGGCAUCCUGGACCGGCAUUGACGCUGAGGCGCGAAAGCUAGGGGAGCAAACGGGG